GUAGUGAGUGUACAGCUUGUAUAACUGUAAAUUUUGUGUCCCUUCAAAAUAACUCAACACACAGCCAUUAAUGUCUUAACCGCUGGCAACAAAAGUGAGUACACGCCUAAGUGAAAAUCUCUAAAUUGGGCCCAAUUUGCCAUUUUCCCUCCCCGGUGUCAUGUGACUCGUUAGUGUUACAAGGUCUCAGGUGUGAAUGGGGAGCAGGUGUGUUAAAUUUGGUGUUAUCGCUCUCACACUCCUUCAUACUGGUGACUGGAAGUUCAUCAUGGCACCUCAUGGCAAAUAACUCUCUGAGGAUCGGAAAAAAAGAAUUGUUGCUCGACAUAAAGAUGGCCUAGGCUAUAAGAAGAUUGCAAGACCCUGAAACUGAGCUUCAGCACGGUGGCCAAGACCAUACAGCGGUUCAACAGGACAGGUUCCACUCAGAACAGGCCUCGCCAUGGUCGACCAAAGAAGUUGAGUGCACAUGCUCAGCGUCAUAUCCAGAGGUUGUCUUUGGGAAAUAGACGUAUGAGUGCUGCCAGCAUUGCUGCAGAGGUUGAAGGGGUGGGGGGUCAGCCUGUCAGUGCUCAGACCAUAUGCCGCACACUGCAUCAAAUUGGUCUGCAUGGAUGUUGUCCCAGAAGGAAGCCUCUUCUAAAGAUGAUGCACAAGAAAGCCCGCAAACAGUUUGCUAAAGACAAGCAGACUAAGGACAUGGAUUACUGGAACCAUGUCCUGUGGUCUGAUGAGACCAAGAUAAACUUAUUUGGUUCAGAUGGUGUCAAGUGUGUGUGGCGGCAACCAGGUGAGGAGUACAAGUACAAAUGAGUCUUGCCUACAGUCAAGCAUGGUGGUGGGAGUGUCAUGGUCUGGGGCUGCAUGAGUACUGCCAGCACUGGGGAGCUACAGUUUGAGGGAACCAUGAAUGCCAACAAUGUACUGUGACAUACUGAAGCAGAGCAUGAUCCCCUCCCUUUGGAGACUGGGCCACAGGGCAGUAUUCCAACAUGAUAAUGAACCCAAACACACCUCCACGACGACUACUGCCUUGCUAAAGAAGCUGAGGGUAAAGGUGAUGGACUGGCCAAGCAUGUCUCCAGACCUAAACCCCAUUGAACAUCUGUGGGGCAUCCUCAAAUGGAAGGUGGAGUAGCGCAAGGUCUCUAACAUCCACCAGCUCUGUCAUGUCGUCAUGGAGGAGUGGAAGAGGACUCCAGUGGCAACCUGUGAAGCUCUGGUGAACUUCAUGCCCAAGAGGGUUAAGGCAGUGCUGGAAAAUAAUGGUGGCCACACAAAAUAUUGACACUUUGGGCCCAAUUUUGACAUUUUCACUUAAGGGUGUACUUACUUUUGUUGCCAGCGGUUUAGAUAUUAAUGGCUAUAUGUUGUUAUUUUGAGGGGACAGCAAAUUUACACUGUUAUUCAAGCUGUACACUCACUACUUUACAUUGUAGCAAAGUGUCAUUUCUUCAGUGUUGUCACAUGAAAAGAUAUUAUCAAAUGUUUGCCUAAAUGUGAGGGGUGUACUCAAUUUCGUGAGAUACUGUGUGUGUAUGUGUUAUCCAUUGAUAAUUUGCAGUGUCACUUGGUGUCAGUAAAUUUAAAUUAAGGAACAAAACAUGGUGACAAUUCUAUCUCAAUUAUAUUUAAAGGACUGAUGGCCUUAGUUUUUAGCAUGUAUGGCAUUUGUUUUUUUAAAUAAAAACAAACGUACCUAAAAUGUCUCAUUGGUGUAAACGUAGUCACUUCACCUACUGGUGACACAUGAAUAAUCAUAAACAAUAUUCAGUCAUUAAGUUUCGCAUAUUCAUUCAUUUAAAAUUAGGAAAUGUGCCCACAUAGAUUUAAAACAAAUAAGACAUGCCCUAAUACCACCGUAAUCCAGGUGCAACCCCUAAUCGUGAUGGACUGUGUGCAUCAUUUUAGGAUCAGAAUUGACAUUUUAUCCGUGAAACCUCCAGGCGUUUGUGUCAGAGGAGUUGGGCAAAAAUAUAUGAAAAAUGUAUAUUUCUAUUGUUUGCUGUGCACCUCUUUUUAUUCAGGUG
ensembl:lncRNA